GCAGGCUCCGCCCAUAGGACGCAGGGGAUAAAACUGGCUGUGGGUAGACAACUGAACAGUAUCUACUCCACAGAACCACACAGCAGCCGUAAUCUAGUUUAAGGAGCACUAGGCCAGCCUCCGAAGACCCAAAUUUCAUUUUGUCUCUGCCAGUAACUCACUGUGUGAACUCAGCUUGCCAAGUUCCAGUUUUUAUCUGAUCAUCUUUGCAUCAAUAAUACAUGAGGCUGAGAUCUUCUGAAAAGAGGAUACUUUUUCUUCCCCCUCACUGAAUGCUUUGCUUUUGCCAGCAAAAAUAUUGAUUUGGAUUUAAUAAUCUGUAGUCCUUUUGGUUUGAUCACACUUAGCAGGAAACCCCAAAAAGAGCCAUGGCCACACAUCCGCCAACAUGGAAUCAAUUGCUCUUCUCUAAUAAAUGCAAUCAUUGAACACC
rnacentral:lncRNA from 1 species